AGACGGAGGGCGCAAGCGUUGUUCGGAAUUACUGGGCGUAAAGGGCAGGUAGGUGGUCUGUUAAGUCUUCUGUGAAAAUCCGGGGCUCAACCCCGCGAAAUGCAGGUGAAACUGGCAGACUGGAGACCGGUAGAGGCUAGCGGAAUUCCUGGUGUAGCGGUGGAAUGCGUAGAUAUCAGGAAGAACACCUGUGGCGAAGGCGGCUAGCUGGGCCGGUUCUGACACUAAACUGCGAAAGCGUGGGGAGCAAACAGGAUUAGAAACCCGAGUAGUCC
rnacentral:rRNA from 1 species